rnacentral:lncRNA from 10 species
GUUGUAGAAGAGCAAAUUGGAGCAGGGAAGAGAGGAGGAAGAGGAAGAAGAUGUGUUUGAGGAAUGCACAGGACAUCCAUGUAGAGAAACCUGUGGACAGUUGGCUCCAUGCAUCAGAACUUCAGGGGAAGCCACAGCAGCUCUAUCCGUGAGCUCCUUCAAAGGUUCUACAAUCCCUGGAAGGUACUUGCAUGACACAGGACAAGCAACAGACUGAAAGUUUGGUUUGGCCAAGGGACACCUGGAGGUCAUCUGCUAUUGGUCACUUCUGAAGAAGAAUGAGGCUGAGGCUCCCUCAGAGGGCCUAAUUUGUCAAGGCCGGUACCAGCAAUGAACAUGCCUGGCCGGGGUGGAAGCCCCAGUUUUCCUUUUACACAUAGCUUUUAACCCCCAGGGGAGGGAUAGCUGGUAGCUCAUACUUGCUGUACAUUUAUUAAGUGCUGGGUACUACGAUGAACACUUCACAUCAAUAGUCUCAUUAAUCUGUAACUUGCAUUGACCAAUUUCUCCAUUUUAGAAAUAAUGAAACAGAGGGAAAGACACAGUUAGUAAAAGACGGCCUCAGACUCCAGACCCUGGCAAUCCUGUUCCAGGGCCUCUGAGCUUCCCCACACUGCCCCCCACUCC